ACGUAGGGCGCAAGCGUUGUCCGGAAUUAUUGGGCGUAAAGGGCGGGUAGGCGGCCACCGCAAGUCGACUGUGAAAUCUCCGGGCUUAACCCGGAAAGGUCAGCCGAUACUGCGGGGCUAGAGUGCAGAAGGGGCAACUGGAAUUCUCGGUGUAGCGGUGAAAUGCGUAGAUAUCGAGAGGAACACCGAUGGCGAAGGCAGCUCGCUGGGACGGUACUGACGCUGAGGCGCGAAAGCGUGGGGAGCGAACAGGA
rnacentral:rRNA from 1 species